rnacentral:rRNA from 1 species
GCCAGCAUUCAGUUGGGCGACUCUAAGGUGACGUGCCGGCUAAAAGUACGGAGGAAGGUGGGGAUGACGUCAAAUCAUCAUGCCCCUUAUGACCUGGGCUACACGCGUGCUACAAUGGGCGGUACAAAGGGUCGCGAACCCGCGAGGGGAGCCAAUCCCAAAAAGCCGCUCUCAGUUCGGAUUGCAGGCUGCAACUCGCCUGCAUGAAGCCGGAAUCGCUAGUAAUCGCGGAUCAGCAUGCCGCGGUGAAUACGUUCCCGGGCCUU